GACGAACCUAGUGAUGCUAAACGCCCAAAGCUGUUGUCCAAGACCUUCGGGUUGAGGGUUUCAGUGGAGCGCGUGACCCGAUCUAGUAGUAGUCAAGCGAUGGAGAGACGCAGGAAGGUAGCCUCCGCGUGGCGAUGGUAGUCCACGUCCAAGGGUGUAGGGCGAGCUGUAGGCAAAUCCGCAGCUCACAUAGCCUGAGACCUGAUAGUGACCGCGUAUGCGGGAAGCAGGGUGAUCCUAUGCUGCCAAGAAAAUCUUCUAGCGAGGUUCGAGCCGCCCGUACCCCAAACCGACUCAGGUGGUUAGGUAGAGAAUACCAAGGCGAUCGAGUGAAUCGUGGUUAAGGAAUUCGGCAAAAUACCCCCGUAACUUCGGGAGAAGGGGGGCCCAGAGGGUGAAGGCACUUGCUGCCUAGCCUGAACGGCCGCAGAGACCAGGGAGAAGCGACUGUUUACUAAAAACACAGGUCCGUGCGAAGUCGCAAGACGAUGUAUACGGACUGACGCCUGCCCGGUGCUGGAAGGUUAAGAGGACCGGUUAGUUCUUCGGAGCGAAGCUGAGAAUUUAAGCCCCAGUAA
rnacentral:rRNA from 1 species